ACUCAAAUGAAUUGACGGGGGCUCGCACAAGCGGUGGAACAUGAGGUUUAAUUCGAUGAUAAGCGGAAAACCUUACCAGGGUUUGACAUCCUAGGAAGGUCCUAGAAAUAGGACUGUGCCGGUAACGGAGCCUGGUGACAGGUGCUGCACGGUUGUCGUCAGUUCGUGUCGUGAGAUGUCCCGUUAAGUCGGCUAACGAACGAAACCCUUAUCCUGUGUUGAAUUUUUCACAGGAAACUGCCCAGCACUUUGUCCCGAAUAAAUAUUCGAGCCAAAGUGCUGGGAGGAAGGCGGGGACGACGUCAAAUCAGCGUGGCCCUUAUACCCUGGGAUACACUCGUGUUACAAUGCCAUAUACAAAGGGUUGCCAAGUCGCGAGACGGAGCUAAUCCCAUCAAAAUAUGGCCCAGUUCGGAUUGGAGUCUGCAAUUCGACUCCAUGAAGCCGGAAUCGCUAGUAAUCGUGGAUCAGAACGCCACGGUGAAUACGUUCUCGAGCCUUGCACACACCGCCCGU
rnacentral:rRNA from 1 species